GACGAACGCUGGCGGCGUGCUUAACACAUGCAAGUCGAAUGGAAAGGCCCUGCUUUUGUGGGGUGCUCGAGUGGCGAACGGGUGAGUAACACGUGAGUAACCUGCCCUUGACUUUGGGAUAACUUCAGGAAACUGGGGCUAAUACCGGAUAGGAGCUCCUGCUGCAUGGUGGGGGUUGGAAAGUUUCGGCGGUUGGGGAUGGACUCGCGGCUUAUCAGCUUGUUGGUGGGGUAGUGGCUUACCAAGGCUUUGACGGGUAGCCGGCCUGAGAGGGUGACCGGCCACAUUGGGACUGAGAUACGGCCCAGACUCCUACGGGAGGCAGCAGUGGGGAAUAUUGCACAAUGGGCGGAAGCCUGAUGCAGCAACGCCGCGUGCGGGAUGACGGCCUUCGGGUUGUAAACCGCUUUCGCCUGUGACGAAGCGUGAGUGACGGUAAUGGGUAAAGAAGCACCGGCUAACUACGUG
rnacentral:rRNA from 1 species